ACACAAUGGAAGUCGUUUUAUGGCAGGAAGCAGCGAAUCUUAUUAACCAGCAUUGAUAAGCUAGUCACAAAUCUUAUUUUACUGUUUUGUAAUACCAACUAUUGUAGCCAUUCUCUGGUUAUGAAUGAGUUUUGUCUUUAGUUUUUAUUCUAAACUAAACUGUAAAUCCUUGAUUUAUUAUGGUUGAUAAAGGAAGUGAUGAUAAAGGAAGUGAUUAUUAUGUUCAAUUAGAAUCUUUCUGUCUUAUUGGGUGUGACACAUGAUAGUUCUUUGGGCUCCUACAGCUUCAUUGGCCUUGGCCGGAUGUUUGUAAUAUCGUGUUUUGUAAGGUUGACAAAAAAAAUCAUAGGCCUUCAUUCUUCCAUCUCCAUUUUGUUUUCACCCGUGCCAAAUAUAUUGAUAUGUUGGUGCUUGUUUCUUUAACUUCCCCUUCCUUUUAUGUUUCUUUUCG
rnacentral:misc_RNA from 1 species